rnacentral:rRNA from 1 species
UAGUCUGCAACCCGACUACACGAAGCUGGAAUCGCUAGUAAUCGCGAAUCAGAAUGUCGCGGUGAAUACGUUCCCGGGUCUUGUACACACCGCCCGUCACACCAUGGGGAGUCGGGAAUGCCCGAAGUCAGUGACCCAACCUUUGGAGGGAGCUGCCGAAGGCAGGUCUGAUAACUGGGGUGAAGUCGUAACAAGGUAAC